GACGAACGCUGGCGGCGUGCUUAACACAUGCAAGUCGAACGAAGUGGCGAACUGGUGAGUAACGCGUAAUCAACCUGCUCUUCAGAGGGGGACAACAGUUGGAAACGACUGCUAAUACCGCAUACUGAAGGAGGGGUUUGCGUCUGAUUAGCUCGUGGGGGGGGUAACGGCCCACCAAGGCGAUGAUUAGUAGCCGGGCUGGUAGGAUGGACGGCCCAAUUGGGACUGAGAAACGGCCCAGAACCCUACGGGAGGCAGCAGUGGGGAAACUUCCGCAAAGGACGAAAGUCUGACGGAGCAACGCCGCGGGAGUGAUGACGGCCUUCCGGUUGGAAAGCUCUGUUAAUCAGGACGCGGUACCUGAAUAGAAAGCCACGGCUAACUACGUGCCAGCAGCCGCGGUAAUAC
rnacentral:rRNA from 1 species